GGAUGUGAGGGUGAUCUGGCUGUGACACCUGUCACCCCACUGAUUGCCAGGGUUGAUUCUGCUGAUCAGGCUAGCUAGGCGGGUGUCCCCUUCCUGCCUUACUGCUCCAUGUGCAGCCCUCCUGAAGCUGCCUCGUAGAUCGAAGAGUUCGGUCUUCCUAGAAUGGAGACAGACCAGUCUUUGGUCUAGGAUAUAUGAGUAGCUGCGUUCCCCUUCUAGAACCUCCAAACAAGCUCUCAAGGAAACUAGAAUAUAAGCUAGUAUUGUGAAUACUAAACAAAUGUAACUGCAAAGUAUU
ensembl:misc_RNA 7SK 7SK RNA